AAAGAUCCAAGGUGAGGGCUUUCCUCACCUUUACCCUUGUUCUCAUGUGGAGGUGGCGCGCGUCUAUGAGACACAGCACUCCACUCGGCGAUCCUCUGCGGUCCAGCAAAUUCUAUCACUUGUUUGGAAAACAAAUCAAGCUAACCCUGCAAAACAGAACAGACAUUACAGAGACUUGAGGAUUGAUUUCUGCAUUAUGUACGUUCAAGCAAGUCUCCCGCCUUAGCCUCCCGAGUAGCUGGGAUUAUAGGCCCAUCAAGCCUUCAGAUGAGACUGCAGCCUCAUUACAGACCUUGAAACAGAGGCAGCCAGCUGAGGCAUACCUGGAUUCCUGACCCUUAUAAACUGAGAUAAUAAAUGUUUACUGUUUUAAGACACUGAGUUUUGGGGGCAAUUUGUUACUUCAUGACAGAGAAUUCAUACAUCCAGAAAAAUAAGAAAUCAGGUUAGGAAUGUGCUCUCCCAGAAGGCAGGCAAGCUCUGGAGCCUAGAAGGGGGCAAGCAACAGGGGGAAGAACAGGACACAGCGUCCAGGGCUUGUGUCAGAGGAAGACACAGAGGCAGUGUAGACAAAUGGUUAAGGCUCUGCAUCAGCCUGCCUGGGUUUAGAUCCUCGCUUCACCUCUUCAAAUCAGCUACGUAACCUCCCCAAGCAUCAGCAAUCUCGCAAGUGACACAAGGCCCCUAACGGUACCCCUCUCAUAGGGAUGAUACACUGCAAGUGCCUGGAGUGGCUCCCGGCACAGUGAAGCUCCAGCAGUUACGGCUGGGGCUGGAUGUUCUGUCCCCUCAGUGGGCUGGGGAGGAAUGGCAUACACUUUUCCUUAUGCAUUAACUGCCCUAGAGGGAGAUUGGGCUUUGUGCACGAGGCAUCAGCUUACUUUUUGAGAUGGAUCAUUAGGUACCGGAGGGUUUCAUAGUGGGCAGGAGGCAGCAGCAUCAGUACUUCAUGGACAGCUUCCAGCCUCUCAUCUGCAUUGGAGAUUUCUGUGAAGUUCACACAUGACGGGUAUUAGUUCAGAGUUGUGGCAUUCACGUUUUCAAAGAAGUAACAAGAAGUUUGUGUUUGCUUUGGCCAGAAAUGAGGGAAGGAUUCUAAUAAAUUCAUGCAACCCAAGCACUGUUUCACUUAAAUUAAUCAAUUUGUUGGUGUUCUGCAUCAUUCAGGAAAGAGUCUGAGUCUGAGUACCACAUGCUAAUUGAAUGUCCUCAGUGUGGGUGGCCAGAGGCUAGACACGGUCCUUGCCCUCCAUGAAUGUGUAAACCAGCACAAUGCAUACAGUCUGGGAGCACGUGUGCAGACUGUGCUUUGCCGUCUUCUUAACACUGGCUUUGCUAGAAAUCUCACUCCUACAAACUUUAAACUGCACCACAUACAGUAGUAUUCCCAUAAAGUUGUCUAAUGAGUCUUUCCCUGGCAGGCUUCUAUAACCUAAGACGUUCACAAGGCAAGGACAUUGGCAAUGAGCCACCCAACUCAGCCUGCACUCAUGGCACUUCUCACCGUGGUGUUGGCAUGCUUAACCCCGGUGCACAGCCUAGGUUAGGAAGUGGAGACUGGACAUAGUAACAAUGGGAGGAAGAGUACAUGCUUCUGGUUUUUGGGUCUCUGAUAGGUAUUGGCAGCUACUCAAAGAAAAUGUUCCUGCUAUUCCUUCUGGAGUGGAGGAUACCCAGGUGCUACAACCUUCUUUGCCAGGACCACCAGGGCCCUGGAAGGAGGGAAUAGUCUUCCUGGGGUCAGGGCCUCAGCUCAUCUGGAAAGUGCAUCUUGCACUGAUCCCAGCCUGCUUUUGUGUCUUCCCAUCAGGCAUCUCAUUACUAUAUUUAAUAGCAUACCUAAACUUUUCAACCUUUAAAGGUUUUUUUGUUUUUAAAAAACAAGCAAAAACUUCCUCAAAGUAAGCUCGACCUCUGUGUUAUGUAUCUCAGCAUCUCAUUCUCCCUUUGGUCACUUUUGCCUCUUCCUGGGCAAAGUGUAGCCCCUUCCUCCACACCUGCCUUUCACUCUGUUCCUCUUUCCUACAGCAGUGGGUCCAAGCACAGAACACCGAAUGAGCAACCCUGGGCUGAUGGAAGGCAAAUGCUGAUGUCCCAUUCCGGGACCCAGGACCUCAGUUCUCUAAGCCUUGCUUUUCUUCUCUGUUAAAUGGGAUUAUAUUUGCCACAUGGAGUACAUGAGAGGACUAAACUUGAAGAUGCUGAUGAGAUGGUGGUGGCCAACUGCGAUCUUGCACUCAGGACAGCACUCAAGCAGGACAGAGCAACAAGCUGCAGUGCCUGGGUGCCUGCCCUGGGCGAUCAGACUAUUCCUGGACUGCUCCUGGGUACCUGGACUGUGACUACGGAGAGAAAUAGAUUUCUAUCUUGUCAAAGGCACUGUUACUCAGGAUCUCUGUGACAGCAUUGAGAUGUCCAGGCUAAGUAAUAUAGUUAGAUUUGGAGGUGGGGGUAUGGGUUUGGUCAUUCCAAGAAAAGGCAAAAACUGAGUCCAGUAGAUUGGACACUGUACUAGGUCCAUUUUUGUAUCAAUUCACUUUAAUCCUCACUAACCACCUUAUUUUAUUGACAGAGGUACAGUUGAUUCCAUUCAUAUUACAGAUGAGGAAACAUAUUUAAAUAUAGUAAGUAACUUGCCCAAGGUCACACUACAGCCAUUAAGAGACAGGGCUGGGAAUUUAAGUUCAAGUCCUUGAUCUUUUCACUCUACCACAUCAGGCAGAGACAAAUGAACAUUAAAGAACAUCUGGAGGACAAUAAGAAAUUCUCUGUGACUGGAAGACACUGAAAGAUGCUGGUAGUGGUGGCCCCACAGCUGGGAAUGUGAGUGUCAUACAAAUUUCUCCCAGCCCAUUCUCUGGUUCUGCUUGUCUGCUUUGGCCCCUAAUAGCGGGGGCUCUAAUCCCUGUGCUAUGAUUCUUUUGGUGUAAAUUCCUAAUUUGUGCCAUUCUAUCUAGCUCUUAUACUAGGCAUACUUAGUGCUGUGCUCCCUAUUAUGAAAUGUUAGACAAAGGCAGUAAUGUUGCCUGAAUGAUCAGUUUUCUCUGUUAAGGAUCGCGAUGGGAGGACCCCAGCUUCUUCAGAAAAGCCCUGAGUGCAAGUUCUGGAGAGGCAGAUAAUCUGACCCCAAACUGCGGAGGCAGGGCCACUUGCCCAACCACUCAUCCAGAGGCAGAGAAUCCUUCCUCUCCUCUUACCCAGUGUAGCCACUGGAUUAAUAUGUUCACCAGAUCCCAAAGUACUCAUUAAGCUCUGUCAGCCACAGCAGUGAAAAUACAGAAGGCAUUUCUUACACUCUGAGAUUAACUUAGAAGUCAUCGGGGAACAGGAUAGCUAUGGCUUUCCCCUCCACAGAAGAGGGAAUAAUUCCCCUCUCUCCAAAGGGUUGGGAUAAUAAGCUAUGACAUCCUGUUUAGUUUUGCUUUGGAAAAAAUUGGGUAGUUGACAAAUAUAUUUUAUACAUAUGUAUUUAUUGGUAUAUUUUUAUAUAUUAUUGGUAUAUUUAUAUAUUUUAUACAUAUAUAAAUAUUUAUACAAUAAAUAUAUAUGUAUAAAAUAUAUUAAGCCAAUUUGGACGCAAUAAUGGAUACCAAGUAUAACAGAAUAUGAUACAUGGCAACAAUGGUUCAUGCCUUAUAAAAAGGCUCUAUACGUGGCCAAAUCACCCAAGUUACAUCCAGCAAUGCAACUUCUCCUCAGUCAGACCUGGUCUGCCCUGUCCGUGAACAUUUUGAUGCUGAAUAGUGGCCAAAGAAAGCACAAAUAAAGGAAAAGUGACCCAUGUACAACAUAAAGAGCAUUUUUUGAAAUGUUUCUAUCUCCUUGUCUCCUUUAUUUUCAUUGCAUGGAUCUCUUAAAUCUUUGAAGUUUCCUCAAUAAUAUUAGGGGCACAUGUUUAAAUGGUUGGAGAUGUGCUGCUCAACAAUUUCUUAUUUAAUAGAAGCACCUUUUUUCCCUCAUAGAUCCAAUACAAGCCUCACUUCUGUCAUAACCGUUUCUCAGUUGUCCUCGAAUAGGAUUAAAGCACUUUCCGUUGUGACUCCAUGGUACGUCGAACGUGGCCAUCCACAAUGUUUUAUUUAUUUGCUCCCCCGAUUGCCCACUCUAACGUAUGAAAUUCUUCCACGUCUCAGCCUCCCAAGUUGCUGGAACUACAGGUGUGCGUGCAUGCGCGCACACACAUGCAUAGGUCAUUUUUCCAAGAGUGGCAGAGCAACUCUGUUUCCUCAGCAACAGUAAAAACAAACAAUAAAAAUGGAAUCACUAUACUACAACAGGAAUUAUUUUUCAAACCUC